rnacentral:rRNA from 1 species
UACGGAGGGUGCGAACGUUAAUCGGAAUCACUGGGCGUAAAGCGCGCGUAGGCGGUUCGUUAAGUGGGAUGUGAAAUCCCCGGGCUUAACCUGGGAACUGCAUUUGUGACUGCAUGGCUGGAGUGCGGCAGAGGGGGAUGGAAUUCCGCGUGUAGCAGUGAAAUGCGUAGAGAUCAUGAGGAAGACCAGUGGCGAAGGCGGGUCUCUGGACAGGU